GACGAGACACAUAGCGGGGGUCAGCGCGUCUCCCCUGAUUUACACGUGGGUUAGUUAGUGCCAGGACGAGAUACAGAGAGAGAGAGAAUGUGCAGUUACCGGAACGUUAGCUGCUCAGUUGUCACUUCCCAAAAAUUGCUGGAAUAACUACAUGGCAUUUAUCUGGGAGUCUACCAUCCACUAUGUUCACACCAUCUCCUCCUCCAUCAUUAAUGAGAGGAACAUGGAAAAUUCAGAGGGCCACUUUCAGCAAACACUCCACCAAGGCAAACUUCCAGGAACUUCAUACAUUCAUGCUUUUAUCCUCUCUGCUAUUUCUCACUGUAAAUGCGUCAUGGUAGUGAUUAUAACAUGUAUGAAGGAUGUGUUUAAAGAGCGACUGCAUUUCCCUGAACCUCCGUUCUGAUUAAAAACAUGAUUUAAAGGCA